CCUACGGGUGACAGCAGUCGAGAAUCAUUCACAAUGGGGGAAACCCUGAUGGUGCGACGCCGCGUGGGGGAAUGAAGGUCUUCGGAUUGUAAACCCCUGUCAUGUGGGAGCAAAUUAAAAAGAUAGUACCACAAGAGGAAGAGACGGCUAACUCUGUGCCAGCAGCCGCGGUAAUACAGAGGUCUCAAGCGUUGUUCGGAAUCACUGGGCGUAAAGCGUGCGUAGGCUGUUUCGUAAGUCGUGUGUGAAAGGCGCGGGCUCAACCCGCGGACGGCACAUGAUACUGCGAGACUAGAGUAAGGGAGGGGGAACCGGAAUGCUCGGUGUAGCAGUGAAAUGCGUAGAUAUCGAGAGGAACACUCGUGGCGAAGGCGGGUUCCUGGACAUUAACUGACGCUGAGGCACGAAGGCCAGGGGAGCGAAAGGGAUUAGAUACCCUAGUAGUC
rnacentral:rRNA from 1 species